rnacentral:lncRNA from 1 species
AUUAUGCGAAAUAUCAAUUUAAUCCCUGAAUUUGUUAAAUGUCAAUCAAGUUAGUCCUUCAGUUCAAAUGGAGCGUUGAUGGGGCUGACGUGGCCGUUAACCUCUCAGUUCAAACGGAGCGUUGACGGGACUGACGUGGCCGUUAACCUCUCACAUAUCAGACGCCACGUAGGCAGGGACUAAUUUGGCCGAUAAUGACCUAAUUUUCAAGGACUAAGUUGAUUGAAUUUCAGGAAAUUGCUCUUCUUCCCCAAUGGCUCUCUUCCUUCUCCAAAGGCUAUUUCAUCCCCAAAUAUAUAAAAUUGGAACCCUAAUUUUACAAUGUGUAAUCUACACUCCAAAAUCUCAAAAUUUUCUUCCAAUAAUUAAGGGUCACGUUCUUCCCCAAAUCAAAAAAUUGCAAACCCUAAUUUUUUUAAUUGAAUCUGAAAACCAAAAUCUGCAAAAUUCAUUCAAGCAAAACUA